rnacentral:lncRNA from 10 species
CAGGUGUGGUGGUGCAUACCUGUAGUUGCAGCUACUUGGGGGGCUGAGGUGGGAGGAUCACCUGAGCCUGGGAGGUCGAGGCUGCAGUGAGCCAUGAUCAUGCCACUGCACUCCAGCCUGGGGGAAAACAUGAGACCCCCAUCUCAAAAUAAAUAAAUACAAAUAAAAUAAAAAUUUGAAAUCUGUUUUUAAAAAAUACUUCCUGGUACUUCUAAUAUGUAGUGAGUGCUCUAGAAAAUUCUGCUCCAAAAAGAAUCUUUAUAGAACAAAUUUUAGUUUUAGAAAGUAUAAUUAAGAUUCAUGGCCGUCUGCGGUGGCUCAUGCUUGUAAUCCCAACACUUUGGGAGGCCGAGGCAGGUGGAUCACUUGAGUUCGAGACCAGCCUGGGCAACAUGGUGAAACCCUGUCUCUACUAAAAAUGUAAAAAUUAGCCAGGUGUGGUGGUGCACCCCUGUAGUCCCAGCUACUCAGGAGGCUGAGGCAGAAGAACUGCUUGAACCUGGGAGGUGGAGUUUGUAGUGAGCCGAGAUCGCGCCACUGCACCGCAGCCUAGGUGACAGAGCCAGACUCCAUCUCAAAAAAAUAAAAAACUUUAAAAAAAAGUAUAAUGAAGAUUCAUAAUUUAAAAUAUGAAAAAUGAGGAGGUAAGGUAGCAUCUGAGAGAUGAGGGACGGGCUGCUAAGAGAUUCCAGAAUGUCUGCUCCCAGGCAAAUCACUAGUAUGAGAGCACUGGACCACGUGAUGCCUGUGGCUGCUUUAACACCCCUUCCUGGUUGGGCAGGCAGCUUGGUUAGACUACCAGGAUGGAGCACCUCUUGAGUUUACUAUCAUGCAUAAAGCUAUUUGCCUUUCUUCUGACCUAUGCUUCCACACUUCCUAUUCUUCCUUUUAUCCUUACCUGCUCCUGUACAUUAGAAUGGCUGUUGUUUUAAUAUAACUGCACUUACUCCUGACACUGUUAAACAACGGCAUUUUGUUUUCUGUUUGACAAGUUGAAAACUUUUAUUGGUACUUUCUUCCUCAAGAGAUGGUUAGUAACGGAUCUAUUUUUAUAGAAUUAAUAUCCCAAGGUAAAAAAAGUAAAACCCAUACAUAGUAUAACACGGUAAAUUACCAAUGGCAUUAUUAGACACUACUGCAACAAUAAAACUUUGGUUUAUUUUCAGUUGUAUUCAGACUUGCUUACCUAGUCUACACAUAACUAGAACAUCAUAUGCAAAUGUUGAUAGAAAUAAUAAAUACAUGACCUUUUGGAAAAACACCUGUGUUCAACUUUUUUUUUUUUUCUUUUUUUUUUAAGUUGAGAUGGAGCCUCGCUCUGUCUCCCAGGCUGGAGUGCAGUGGUGCAAUCUUGGCUCACUGCAACCUCUGCCGCCAGGGUUCUAGCAAGUCUCAUUCCUCAGCCUCCUUAGUAGCUGGUAUUACAGGCAUGUAAUAAUAAUGGUAUCAUGCUAUAAAUAUCUAAAUUUUUUUCUAUUAAUACAUCAAAAAAUCUAUGUAGGUUAACAAAACUUUUACAUAUUAACAUGAAAUCUUAUUGUUCCAUUUUACAUUCCUGUCUGGUUUUAUCUUUUCGGUGAUAAGGAACGAUUUCAGAAUCAUACUGGGCAACAAACAGAACAUACCUUUCUCCGAUCUUUAAGAAUCCUGUCCAAACUCUCCUCAUUCACUUUGCUUGCGUAGUCAUAAAAACUGUUUAAGAGAAAAAAAUCUUGUACUAACACCACAUAGUAUUGUGACAUAGACGUGCUUGGCUGCAUAUGCCUGUGGUAACCCUAAUGAAGACCUAACUUCUCACCUUACACAGGUUUACACAGGUGAAUAAAGAGAAAUCAGUCCAAAUGUUUUUCUGAAAUGAGGCCCCUUUUGCAUUGACGAAUACUCAAGAGAUUGCUACAUUCAAAAGAUAUUACUUCCACAUGUGGGAGGUGCUGAUAGCAAGUAAUUAUAAAAUGUGGGGUUUCAAAUGGCUGUGACAUUUUUCUUUGUUUCUAGGUAUCAAUUACUUAUGAAAAAAAGAUAACGUAGCAGCUCAUUUUCUGAGAAAUGAAGAAGGGAAGUAAACAUUUGUGGGAUGUGGAAGAAGACAUUGGGCUGCCUACUUUCUCAGGUUGUUUCAUUCCAUUCUUGCCUCAGUGCUGGGAGGUAUUAGUUUGACCCAACAAUUCCACAAGUUUUAUUCCCAGUUUCAUAGAUAAACACACCAAGGCCAAGUGACUUCCUCCAAAUCACAGGGCUGGUAGACAGAAGGGCUGGAAUUUGAAGCCAGGUCUGGCUAGCUUCGAACCUAAUACAAUCACCUCCAAAAGAGACCAACAUGACCAGGAUCCCGUGGUGCGCAUCCAGGUAUAAUGAUGCGUGGGCCUCCUCUACUACUGGACAUGGGCUUGGGAAAGCCACACCUCUACUUCUUUCCUACCACCAUAAACCUGGGCCUUAUAAGCCAGAAAGGAGUUCAAGAUACGGUUAAAAACAAACAAAAAAAGCCACUGACUUGGAAGGCAAGAGACACAAGCUCCAGCUCCAGUUCUGUUUCUCACUAUAUGAUCUGGGGCAAGUCACUCCACCUGGUUUCCAUUCCAUUUUUUGCAAAAUAAGGAGUUUGGAAUAGACAGAUGUUAUCUAAGGUUUCUUUUGGCUCUAAUAACUGAGUCUAAUCUUUUUUUUUUUUUUUUUUGUUGAGAUGGAGUCUCGCUCUGUCACCCAGGCUGGAGUGCAGUGGCGCGAUCUCGGCUCUCUCCAAGCUCCACCUCCCAGGUUCAUGCCAUUCUCCUGCCUCAGCCUCCCAAGUAGCUGGGACUACAGGCACCCACCACCGUACCUGGCUAAUUUUUUGUAUUUUUAGUAGAGACGGGGUUUUACUGUGUUAACCAGGAUGGUCUCGAUCUCCUGACCUCAUGAUCCACCUGCUUUGGCCUCCCAAAGUGCUGGGAUUACAGGCGUGAGCCACCGCACCCGGCCAACUAAGUCUAUUCUUUAAACUCAAAUCCUUGUUCUGGUACUACUUUGCUGACAGUAUUUUAAUGAAUUCCUGAGAAGGCUGAGGCAGGGUACACCUAGAGAAGCUUUGGACAGUCAAGACCAAAUCAGACACCUUCGUAGACCAGACAGAAGCAAUGUGUGAACCAGAGCCUAAACAAUUUCACUUGCUCUGAGAUUCCCCUCAAACGAACUGCUGGCUGCUCGUCUUGCUUCCCCAUUCCUGUUUUGCUUAUGUGUAAAUCUAAAAGAGGCGAGGUUCUCAGCAACUGAUGGCUUCAUUUAUAGGUAGCCAUCUUGCAUGGUGACAAUUCUCUGAAGCAAUCAAUAGGUGCGGGUGGAUGUUCGAGGGUGAAUAUGACACAAGUCCCCAGGGAUUUUUGGGUGCAAGGGGGCCAGGUGUUUGGGCCAGCUGACAGUGGGAGAGUGGUCAGGGUGAAAACUGCAGGGAACAGCAGGAAGCGGCAAGCAGAAAGGGCUGGCUGGCGUUACGGAAGGAACUGCUGAUCAAGAACGCUGAUUGUAUUCGUGUGGGCAGUGCUAGAAGGAAAGCAUUGGCCUGGCUUUUGGAAAGGGUAAGAAGUUGGGUCUCGGGGAGUUUUAUGAAACACAGAGUUGAAAUCGUGAUCCCAGCCAUUAGGUGGAAGGGUUUGGGGCUGAGAAAGAAGGCAUAGGCCUGGUGGUGGUUUGGGGGGAAGUCCAGUGAGUAAGAGACCCUGGACUUUCUUUUCCUCACUCUUUUCCCUCCAGGUGUCUCUCUGUUGUAUGCUUUCUCCUUUCCGAACGUUUCUCCCUUUAUUUCUUUUUCGUUCUGUCCUUUAGUUGGUCAUAAUAUGGCAUUGGUGUAUACAGUAGUCCCCCUCUUGUCUGCGGUUUCACUUUCCAGUUUCAGUUACCCUUGGUCAAUCUCUCAAAUAUGUUUGAGAGUGAGUGGACACAUUCACAUAACUUCAAUCAUCUCUUACUGUGCCUCAUUCAUAAGUGAAACUUCAUGAUAGGUAUGUACAUACAGGAAAAACCAUAGUACAUAUAGAUAGGGUUCAGUACUAGCCACGAUUUCUGGAGUCUUGCCACAUAUUGCCCAAGGAUAAGCAGGGACUACUGUAUUCACUUCAACAAACACAAAAAGAACGUUUUAUGCUCCUUUUUCUUACAUUUUUAAAGUUGAACACAAAACAUUUUUUAUUCCUCGUUAAGAACAUCCUUUGAAUUAUUUUAUGUUGAUUAACUUUUUCUCUAUAAUUGAAGAGCCCUUGAUAGGCUGAGAGGAAAUACUUCCAUUCUAAAUCACUAAGCCCACAAUUGACACUCUUCCCUUCCCUUUUCCUAACCUAACACAGUGCCGUGUACAAAGCACUCAAUAAAUACAUGGAUUUGGGUACCCUCAUGACUUUACAGCCACAAUCAGCUACAGGCCAAAAUUCACUAGUUUUUUUUAUCAAUCAAUCCUUUUAGUAAGGACUAAAAGCUUACAUAUGGCUUACCUAAAAAGUUUUGAACAAGGCUGAUGGUUAUGGAUUUCUGUAAUUAGAAAGAGGAAAUACAUCUUAGUUAAUCAUGUAAGACAUAGGCAACUAUAAAAUAGCUCAGGACUUUUUUUUUUAAUCAAAAUCUCUGACAACAAAGACAGCUUUUCCCUCUGCCAAACAGUUGCUACAUGUACACCAGUCUGAAUACUCACCCUCAGUGACACACUCUCAGAAUAAAAGAGACUACAGAAUGAAAGUUCUAUUUCUAUCUGUCCAUGUAUGAUGAGCACAUUUCUGAAAGAUAUUAUUUAGGAAUACGCAGCUAUUGUGUACCUUAUUCAAUCUUAUCUAUUUAAAAAAGCAUCAUGGGAAAAAGCAACCACUGACUGGAAGCAUUUAAUCAAGUGGGAUAAAAGCUGUGAGGAUAGGCAGGUCGCAGUGGCUCACGCCUGUAAUCCCAGCACUUUGGGAAGCUGAGGCGGACAGAUCACUAGGUCAGGAGUUCAAGACCAGUCUGGCCAACAUGGUGAAACCCCGUCUCUACUAAAAAUACAAAAAUUAGCUGGGCGUGGUGGCGGGCGCCUGUAAUCUCAGCUACUUGGGAGGCUGAGGCAGGAGAAUCACUUGAACCCGGGAGGCUGAGGCUGCAGUGAGCAGAGAUCGCGCCACUGCACUCCAGCCUGGGCAACAGAGCGAAACUCUGUCUCAUAUUAAAAAAAAAAAAAAAAAAAAAAAGCUGCGAGGACAGCUUGGGGACAGAGGGCCUUAACCACCCUCACCCUACCAUUAAUAACCAGUAAUAACUCAUGACAACUUGGGCCAGGUGUUUUGAAGAGGAAGGAACUCUGGAAGUCUAUUAACCCUUUCAAAGAUGGUCAGUACCAAGGGAAACAAUCAUUACAGGGUAGAUCGUAAAAGCUUCUGAAAAGUUGCUGUGAUUAAGCAGAGCGAACAAUUUCUUUGAGCUCAUCCAGGGGCUUAGGGUCUGGGUUUCUUUAUAAGACCAUGAAACUAAUUGACCAUUCAGUUAUAUUAAUCACAUUCUCCUAGAGAGCAGCUCAUCACCCGUUAUUUAAAAAACCACAGCCUCAGAGUUCCAGGCUGUAAUUUUAACUCAAUUAAAAGGAAACCACAGGCCGGGCGCAGUGGCUCACGCCUGUAGUCCCAGCACUUUGGGAGGCCAAGGUGGGUGGAUUGCGAGGUCAGGAGAUCGAGACCAUCCUGGCUAACACGGUGAAACCUCGUCUCCACCAAAAAUACAAAAAAUUAGCCAGGCGUGUUGGUGGGCGCCUGUAGUCCCAGCUACUUGGGAGGCUGAGGCAAAAGAAUGGCGUGAACCCGGGAGGUGGAGCUUGCAGUGAACCCAGAUCGCGCCACUGCACUCCAGCCUGGGUGACAGUGCGAGACUCCGUCUCAAUUAAAAAAAAAAAAGGAACCAUAGCCUUCAAGGACAUGGGACUAGGCCCAGUAGCUUCUGUACUUGUGUUAAUGUUGUCAAAAUGAAGUAUUUCCACAGGAAAGAAAAGUUCACUUGCCUAGCUAUGCAGUAAGAUAAACCUUACCUUGGUUGGUCUGCAGGUAGAGUUAUCUCAAUUGAUUGUUUAUGGUUACAGACUAAACCCUUGUUCUACUCUUUCCCCCUUCUCACUACUGCACUUGACUAGUCUUAUAAAAAUAAAUUAAAGCCGGGCACAGUGGUGCACACCUGUAAUCCCAGCACUUUGGGAGGCUGAGGUGGGCGGAUCACGAGGUCAGGAGUUUGAGACCAGCCUGGCUAACAUGGUGAAAUCCCAUGUCUACUAAAAAUACAAAAAUUAGCUGGGUGUGGUGGCGCGCGCCUGUAAUCCCAGCUACUCGGGAGGCUGAGGCAGAACUGCUUGAACCCAGGAGGCAGAGGUUGCAGUGAGCCAAGAUCAUGUCGCUACACCCCAGCCUGAAUGACAGAGCAAGACUCUGUCUCAAAAAUAUAAAUAAAUAAAUAAAUAAAGGCCAGGUGCAGUAGCUCACACCUGUAAUCCCAGCACUUCGGGAGGCCAAGGCGGGUGGAUCACCUGAGGUUAGGGGUUCAAGACCAGCCUGGCCAAUAUGGUGAAAACAAAAAUACAAAAAUGAGUCGGGCAUGAUGGUGGGUACCUGUAAUCCCAGCUACUUGGGAGGCUGAGGUGUGGGAGAAUCACUUGAACCCAGGAGGCGGAGGUUGCAGUGAGCCGAGAUCACACCAUUGCACUCUAGCCUGGGCAACAGAGUGAGACUCGGUCUCAAAAACAAAAGCAAAAAAAAGUACAAAUAAAACCUCACCUAGUAAUAUUUCCUUCUUUUUAUCACUAAAAAUGAUAGAGGCCGGGCGUGGUGGCUCAUGCCUCUAAUCCCAGCACUUUGGGAGGCCGAGGAGGUUGGAUCACCUGAGGUCAGGAGUUUGAGACCAGCCUGACCAAAAGGUGAAACCCCAUCUCUACUAAAAAUACAAAAUUAGCCGGGCAUGGUGGCGCAUGCCUGUAAUCCCAGCUACUUGCGGGACUGAGGCAGGAGAACCGCUUGAAACUGGGAGGCAGAGGUUGCAGUGAGUCAAGAUUGUGCCAUUGCACUCCAGCCUGGGCAACAAAAGUGAAACUCGAUCUCAAAAUAAAUAAAUAAAUAAAAAUGAUAAAGUAUACCAUCAUAAGUUAUUCCAGAGAUACUGUUAGUAAUUAGGAUGCAGAAUCUUUGUUGCAAAAAUAUUACCUAGAGUUCAGGGAAAAGAAAAACUCAUCUUCUACUUUAAAGAACUGUCAUUUAAUGAAAUUCCUGGAGUAAGUUCUGAACUCUGAAUGUGCACUGUUACCAAAGCAGUUUCUUUCAAAUUUACAAACUGGAUUAGAAGCACGCUAAAGACAUUCUAUAGAUACUGUGUGGUACUUUUUGAAGGAAGUUAAAGCUUUCUAAGAUGUUUUGCAAUACUAAGCACUCAUGGAAAAACAGGGUGAUGAUCUCAAACAUGAAAAAGCUGCAGAUCGAAAUGAACUUGGAGGACACCUUAACUGACAGGUAAACCUCUGGAAGCAGGCAGGGGCUGGGCAGCCUCACCUGGAAUUUCCAGAGUUUCUUGUGCCUCAACAACACAGUAGACACCUGCUCAUGUACACAUC